UACGUCAACAUCCUUAACGAAUUUAAUCCGUUCUAACCUUUUGACCGUACACUAUAAUACCAUAAGCAAGCUUUCGGCACCAGAGUGACAUGUCAGAGGCCAGACGAAUAGCCCAUGAGGGUAUUCAUUGCAAUCCUCGAUCCCAUCCGUUACAUCUACCAAAGGCUAUAACACUUCAAUACGAGAUCGAAGCUACAUUCCUCCGGUCAUUUUAUAACGGUCGAAACCGACGUUGACCUACAAUACGAGAAAGUGCACCCAAAAAGAGCAGGUUGUGAAAAACAAAGGCUCUCUGAAUCCCACAAGUCCACCCUCAAAAGGUUGAUUCCCCGUUAGUACGACUGACUUUAAUCGUUUCCCUUUCAACAAUUUCACGUACUGUUUAACUCUCUUUUCAAAGUUCUUUUCAUCUUUCCCUCACGGUACUUGUUCGCUAUCGGUCUCUCGCCUAUAUUUAGCCUUAGGAGAAAUUUACCUCCCAUUUUGAGCUGCAAUCCCAAACAACUCGACUCUUAGAAAACGUAUCGUAGAGCACAUUUGAUUAGGCCGGACGGGAUUCUCACCCUCCAUGAUACCCUAUCCCAAAGGAUUUGGGCUAAAUCAAACACGCAGAAAACGCUUCUUCAAAUUACAACUCGGUUAGGUAAGACCCAACAGAUUUAAAAUUUGAGCUAUUCCCUCUUCGCUCGCCGUUACUAGGGGAAUCAUUGUUAUUUUCUUUUCCUCCGCUUAUUGAUAUCG
rnacentral:rRNA from 1 species